rnacentral:rRNA from 1 species
GUCCUCUUGAGGUUUUAUAAGAGGUUUGACCUGCCCGGUGAAUAAUUUAACGGCCGCGGUACUCUGACCGUGCAAAGGUAGCAUAAUCAUUAGUCUUUUAAAAGGAGGCUGGAAUGAAGGGUUUGACGAGGAAUUAACUGUCUCAUUUUUUUUGAAUUUAAAAUUUAACUUUUUAGUUAAAAGGCUAAAAUUUUAUUGGUAGACGAGAAGACCCUAUAGAGCUUUAUAUUUAUUUGAUUAUUUAUAUUAUAUUAUUUAUAAUUAUUUUAUAUAAAUAUUUUGUUGGGGUGACAAAAAUAUAUAAUUAACUUUUUUAUUUACAAUGCAUUGAUUUAUGUAUAUAAGAUCCAUUAUUAUUGAUUUUUAGAUUAAGUUACCUUAGGGAUAACAGCGUAAUCCUCUUCCAGAGUUCAUAUUUACGGGAGGGCUUGCGACCUCGAUGUUGGAUUAAGAUAAUAUUUAGGUGUAGCCGCUUAAAUAAUAGGUCUGUUCGACCUUUAAAUUCUU